rnacentral:rRNA from 1 species
AUGAAAGAUCUGGGAGAAGCCGAUGUAAUUCUAAACAUCAAACUUAUUAAGGAUGAGAGUGGGAUUACAUUAACACAAUCUCACUAUGUUGAGAAGGUCUUGAACCGAUUCGGUUUUAUGGAUAGCAAGCCUUCUCCAACACCUUAUGAUCCCAGCGUGACACUCAGAAAGAACAAGAAAGAAAUGAGAGAUCAAUUAAGAUACUCUCAAAUUGUCGGUUCACUCAUGUAUUUAGCUAGCGCUACAAGACCAGAUAUCUCUUUUGCUGUGAGCAAACUGAGUAGGUUCAUGUCCAACCCGGGUGAUGAUCAUUGGCAUGCACUAGAAAGGGUCUUGCGCUAUCUGAGAGGUACUAUGAGUUACGGAAUUACUUAUUCAGGGCAUCCUGCUGUGCUAGAAGGAUAUAGUGAUUCAAAUUGGAUCUCCGAUGUUGAUGUACUUUACGCAACAAGUGGGUAUGUAUUUACUCAUGGUGGUGGCGCAGUGUCAUGGAGGUCUUGCAAGCAAACCAUAUUGACGAGGUCAACUAUGGAAGCAGAAUUAACUACUUUGGACACAGCUACUGUUGAGGCAGAAUGGCUGCGUGAGCUCUUGAUGGACUUGCCGGUUGUUGAAAAACCUGUACCGGCUAUUCUUAUGAAUUGUGAUAACCAAACGGUUAUCGCUAAAGUGAACAAUUCUAAAGAUAAUGCAAAGUCAUCAAGACACGUGAAAAGACGUUUGAAGUCUGUCAGGAAGUUGAGAAACUCCGGAGUAAUAACUGUUACAUAUAUACAAACAGACAAAAACCUGGCAGAUCCCUUUACAAAGGGACUAUCACAAAAUGUGAUAGAUAUUGCAUCUAGGGAGAUGGGUAUGAGACCCAUAGCAGUCUUGAAAGAACACACCUAUAUGAGUUCUGACUGUAAACGUCGCAGUCUAUGA